UGUAAAUGUAUCCGUGUGUCCGUGAUGUAAAUGUAUCCGUGUGUCUGUGAUGUAAAUGUGUCCGUGAUGUCCGUGUGUCCGUGAUGUAAAUGUAUCCGUGUGUCCGUGAUGUAAAUGUAUCCGUGUGUCCGUGAUGUAAAUGUGUCCGUGUGUCCGUGAUGUAAAUGUGUCCGUGUGUCUGUGAUGUAAAUGUGUCCGUGAUGUCCGUGUGUCCGUGAUGUAAAUGUGUCCGUGUGUCCGUGAUGUAAGUGUGUCCGUGUGUCCGUGUGAAAGGAUGAAACAUUCUGAUGAAGUUCACUGGUGUGGAAUCUCUAGUGCUGAUGGUCGAGCGACAUGGUGACUAAAGCAGAAGCUGUAAAUACAGUAGUGUGACCUCGGUGUGACCAGCACCGGACAGGACCGUGUCCUCUGUACAUGGGCCGAGUCACCUGUGUCCCCGAAACCCAUGAAGUCAACAGGAAAUGUUUAGAGAAGAUCCUCCAUCUGCUACAUGAAAGGAACCCGAGGCCUGAGAGAUGGAGAGGAGCUCCGAAACAAAUGGCACCCUCUGAAGACCAGCAGCUCGAUGGCCACAGAACAGCCCGCUCCUGCUGAGAGGGAUUCUCCUUAGCUGUGUUUUCACAACCUCACACGCGCGCACACACACACACACACACACACACACACACCCCUUUUUACUUCCUCAUAAUAAACGUGAGUCUAAUGAGAGAUCAGAAUAUUGUGUAAUACAAACAAAGCAAUCAGUCAGUAAGCGAAACGUCAGUGACGACCAAAUCCGCUUCGUGCUUCAACAACAACAAAGAACAAACUUCCUGUGAGAACGACAAACGUUUAUAUUUUAGCCGAUUGAGAGUUAGACAAUCUAUUUACGAGGCGUCUCUUUGUGGCCUGUUUAUCUGAUGAAAUGCCUCGAUAAAAUGUGACGGAUUUCAAAAGCAAGGAGGCGGCGAGCUGGAGGAAGCAGAGAGGAGCGUAUUUACAGCAGCUGGUGAUGGAUUUCCUCUCAGUUCAAACAGUCAGGCAGCAGAAAGCUCUCCAUCACACACACACACACACACACACACACUGCUGGGCUUUUGAUGUCACACUCAUUCCGACUCUGUUUGUUCUGCAGUAACAGAGACUUCUGAAGACACAAAGCCACAUGAACAUCUGAAGUGGGGAAGGAGCUUCAUGAUGUCGUCUCUGUUAGUCACAGAUUUAUCGUGUCUUCACAUCUCUGUGCUCCUGAUAUUUUAUUAUUAUUAUAGUAUUUGUUGUAACAUGAAUUUAAAACACUGACCGAAUAAAACUGACUUGAGCUGUGUGUGUGUGUGUGUGUGUGUGUGUGUGUGUGUGUGUGUGUGUGUGUGUUUAACUGAAAUGAAAGUGGCUUUAAUCAUAAACGGUCCACUGUAGAAGAACACACACUGUUCUCAUGUCAAAGCCUGUGGCUUCCUUAAUAAAUGGAAAAAAAUAUCCUUCUUCCUCAAUAAAGCAGGACAUUUGAUGGGAA